UUGGGUUGGCCAAAAAAGUUUGUUUGGGCUUUUCUGUACUUUCCUACAGAAUAACUCAAACUUUUUAGCCAACCCA
rnacentral:miRNA from 1 species